rnacentral:rRNA from 1 species
UACGUAGGGUGCAAGCGUUAAUCGGAAUUACUGGGCGUAAAGCGUGCGCAGGCGGUUGUGCAAGACCGAUGUGAAAUCCCCGGGCUUAACCUGGGAAUGGCAUUGGUGACUGCACGGCUAGAGUGUGUCAGAGGGGGGUAGAAUUCCACGUGUAGCAGUGAAAUGCGUAGAGAUGUGGAGGAAUACCGAUGGCGAAGGCAGCCCCCUGGGAUAACACUGAUGCUCAUGCACGAAGGCGUGGGGAGCAAACAGG